rnacentral:snRNA from 1 species
GAGUAAACCCGUAAGGCG